ensembl:snoRNA
AAGCAAUGAUGAAAAGGUUUUAUUGUGGAUCUUUAUAACUAUGAAGGUUUCUACACUUGCUCUGAGCUCA